rnacentral:rRNA from 1 species
CUACGGAGGGUGCAAGCGUUGUCCGGAUUUACUGGGUUUAAAGGGUGCGUAGGUGGCGUGUUAAGUCAGUGGUGAAAGCCUGCAGCUCAACUGUAGAGGUGCCAUUGAUACUGACAUGCUUGAGUAUGGACGAGGUAGGCGGAAUUUGUGGUGUAGCGGUGAAAUGCAUAGAUACCACAAAGAACACCGAUAGCGAAGGCAGCUUACUGGACCAUAACUGACACUGAGGCACGAAAGUGUGGGUAGCGAACAGGAUUAGAAACCCCAGUAGUCC